UUAUACCUUUCCUUGUUAUUAUUUCUAAAUGCCUAUUAUAAGGGUCUCACGAAUACUUAGGAUGUGCAUUAUGCAUAGCUGCUGCUGUAGAAUGUUUGUAAGUUUAGCAUUUUGUGUUGGUUAUCAUGUGAAAUUACACGAUUGCUAGCUCAUAUCUCUUCAGACAGGUUUUUCAUGCUAUCGAAAACACUUAUCAAUGAGGGGUUAGCUCUUUGUUCAUGAAACAUGUCGAACACUCAAUCUAAUGGAAAUCUAGCGGUUUUAUCUGUUCUCAUUUCGGUUAAUAGGUUGCUUUAAUAGUGUGUUUUGACGAUAUCAUACUUUGACAUCUUUAUUCUAUUUUGUAGAGCCUCAACUCUGGUUUUGAAUUGUGGAAUCCUGGAGCGCUUCCACCUUCCCUGAUAGCUUUUGAGGGUCAUGUGCAUCGGAUUGAUCCUUCAUGGCACAUUGCUGGUUUAGGAUAUCGAUCUAUUAUGAAUGUGGCAGAGUCUACACUGGAAGACGUAGCUGUUGUACAUUUCAGCGGACCAGCCAAGCCAUGGCUUGAGAUUGGGAGCCCUGAGAUACGAAGCUUAUGGAGUCGCCAUGUAAAUUUCUCAAACGAAUACAUUAGGAAAUGUGGAAUCGUGGGGUGAAUGGAAGGGGACACAGUCUCACUCUCAACGUGAAAUAUGUCUGUAAUUUAGUCUUAAGAUAUAUUCUGAGUUGGAGGGAAGAAGGUACAGCCUUCAGUCUCCAAUCACACAACUGUAAUCCCUGUAUAGAUUGUGGGGUGAAUGGUUAAGGGGACAAAGCCUCACUUUCAACGUGAAAUAUAUCGUAAUUUAGUCUGAAGAUAUAUUCUGAGUUGGAGGGAAGAAGGUACAGCCUUCAGUCUCCGAUCACACCAUUGUAGUCCCUGUAUAGACUAAGCUAGCGUGCCAUACACUACACAGGCUAGAUGUUUGACAGCUUUCGUGUAUUAGGUUGAUAGAUAUAAAGCUAUUGCAAAGUCUUUUUUCCACGUUCCUAUACCUAUAAUAAUAUCUUUCUAUUGAAGUCAUAUGUAAGACAAGAGGGGCGACUUUGAUGGUAAGCAACCCCACUUCCAACCAAGAGGUUGUGGUUCGAGUCUCCCCAAGAGCAAGGUGGAAAGUUCUUGGAGGGAAAGAUGCCGGGAGUCUAUUUGGAAACAGCCUCUCUAACUACCCUUCCCAAACCCCACUAAGUAGGAUUAUACUGGGUUGUUGUUGUUGAAGUCAUAUGUAGGACAUUCGAUGAAGCUAGGAAGUUUUCUAAAAUAAUACUACUAAUAAAAUUCUUAAAGUAGACAAAUGGUAUAAUUAUCAUGGGCAGGUGAUUGUCAACAACUAAGAAAACUUAGAAGUAGACAAUUUAUUUUAUUUUGGGUGUACUUGAUUAGUUAAUAUAUACACGAUAACGUAGUUAUUGUCAAUUUACUUCAGUUGAGGAUGACUAUUUUAAAUGCUAGUAAAAGGCACUAUCAGCUGUACAAACAUUAAGACAAAUAAAGAAUCAGAUGUCCACUUUUACUAAUUUUGGAAAAAACAAUCGAAAUGAAGAACAAACACGUGUAUGGCAUCACAUUUUAGAUAAACUAUUAACUGAGGUGAAAUGGCUAUAGUUGGCCAUGUUACUUUUCUAAACACAUACAGAAACAAAUAGCAGAAAGUUAACCACAGAUUUCUUUUUCUCUACGAUAAAGAUGAAGAGAUU
rnacentral:lncRNA from 1 species